rnacentral:lncRNA from 1 species
CCUAACAAUGGACUGUUGUCCUGACAAUGGAUUGCUGUCCUAACAAUGGACUGCUGUCCUAACAAUGGACUGCUGCUCUAACAAUGGACUGUUGUCCUAACAAUGAACUGCUGUCCUGACAAUGGACUGUUGUCCUGACAAUGGACUGCUGUCCUAUCAAUGGACUGCUGUCCUAACAAUGGACUGCUGUCCUAACUAUGGUCUGCUGUCCUAACAAUGGACUGUUGUCCUAACAAUGGACUGCUGUCCUAACAAUGGACUGCUGUCCUAACAACGGACUGCUGUCCUAACAACGGACUGCUGCCUUAACAACGGACUGCUGUCCUAACAAUGGACUGCUGUCCUAACAAUGGACUGCUGUCCUAACAAUGGACUGAUGCCUUAACAAUGGACUGCUGUCCUAACAAUGGACUGCUGUCCUAACAAUGGACUGCUGCCUUAACAAUGGACUGCUGUCCUAACAAUGGACUGCUGUCCUAACAAUGGACUGCUGUCCUAACAAUGGACUGCUGCCUUAACAAUGGACUGCUGUCCUAACAAUGGACUGCUGUCCUAACAAUGGACUGUUGUCCUAACAAUGGACUGCUGUCUUAACAAUGCGUAGACGUGGGGGGGCAGUUGAUUCUAGUAAACAUGAUAUUUCUGUGAUGUCUAACAUCAUGUUAUAUCUCUGGGGUAUCAGAGAGGGAUCUUAAAGUGGGAGAUAUGUGAGGAGAAAUCAGAUGCAUGGAUAACUUGCAUGGAUUUUCUUUUGCUUCCAUCAUGGAUGGUAGGAUGGUAGAUUUUGAUUGGUAGGAGUUUUGGAUGGUAGGAUGGAAGGAGGUUUGGAUGGCAGGAUGAUAGGAUGGUAGGAGUUUUGGAUGGUAGGAUGGUAGGAGGUUUGGAAGGUAGGAUGGUAGGAUUUUGGAUGGUAGGAGUUUUGGAAGGUUGGAGUUUUCAAUGGUCCCUCCUGUCUGUACCUCCUGUCUGUCCCUCCUGUCCCUGUCUGUCCUUCCUGUAUUUCCCUGUCUGUCCCUGUCUAUCCAAUCAAAUUUAUUUCAAUCAAUCAAAUGUAUUUAUAAAGCCCUUUUUACAUCAGCUGAUAUCUCAAAGUGCUGUACAGAAACCCAGCCUAAAACCCCAAACAGCAAGCAAUGCAGGUGUAGAAGCACAGUGGCUAGGAAAAACUCCCUAGAAAGGCCAAAAACCUAGGAAGAAACCUAGAGAGGAACCAGGCUAUGAGGGGUGGCCAGGAAAAACUCCCUAGAAAGGCCAGAACCUAGGAAGAAACCUAGAGAGGAACCAGGCUAUGAGGAGUGGCCAGUCCUCUUCUGGCUGUGCCGGGUGGAGAUUAUAACAGAACAUGGCCAAGAUGUUCAAAUGUUCAUAGAUGACCAGCAGGGCCAGAUAAUAAUAGUCACAGUGGUUGUAGAAGGUGCAACAGGUCAGCACCUCGGGAGUAAAUGUCAGUUGGCUUUUCAUAGCCGAUCAUUCAGAGUUAGAGACAGCAGGUGAGCUAGAGAGAGAGUCGAAAACAGCAGGUCCGGGACAAGGUAGCACAUUCAGUGAACAAGUCAGGGUUCCAGGCAGAACAGUUGAAACUGGAGCAGCAGCACGGCCAGGUGGACUGGGGACAGCAUGGAGUCAUCAUGCCAGGUAGUCCUGAGGCAUGGUCCUAGGGCUCAGGUCCUCCGGGAGGGGAGGGAGAGGGAGAGAGAAUUACAGAGAGCAUACUUAAAUUCACACAGGACACCGGAUAAGACAGGAGAAAUACUCCAGACAUAACACUGACCCUAGCCCCCCCCGACACAUAAAC